rnacentral:sRNA from 1 species
UUUACUUUUUAAAUGUUUCUAUCACUAUGUUUCUAUCAUUCUUAAGAUGUACAACAAUAGUAUUUAGAAAAUAAAUAUAUCCAUUACUACAUGCCUGACAGCAUCCAGCACCACGUAGCAUUCUAAGUAGAAGUCUCAGAAGAGAACUGCAAUGGAAAGUGUAUGAGCUGUGUGGUUUGCAGCAUCAGCACCAAACCCAUCCAUCGUCCUGGAACAUGAGGAACAGUCCCUGGACUGACAAAUGAGUAGGCUGGCAAAGCAGAGUGAUCUCAUGUGACCACGACGAGCCUGUGAAGUAGGUCUUAACUAUCUUUGUUUUGUAGCAAGGAAACAGGCACACAGAGUUCAACAGUCAAGGUCACAAGCUAAGCAGCCAAGGUCACAGAGCUAAUCAAUACUGGGGGCAUUGAAUGAGAUCUUCUGGUUCUUCCCCCAGCCUGAUGCCCAUUCACGGAAGCUUCAUUUUCCGCAACCUUAACUUAACAGGACCCACUAUAUUCCUCCUGUAAAGGAGAAACCGUAAUUUAUAUGUCAUAAGUUAAAACAAAUGGCUGGAGAGAUUUUCCCUACAAUUGGAUUGCUCGUUUAUAAAUGCACAAAAUCUUAUAAUUCAACCGAUUUUGAAGAAGGAGAGAGGAGACACCAAUUGCUGGUAGUGGCCAGAGCAGAAAAUGAAAAAUGUCAAGGCCUGACUGAAUGUCUAUUCAUCUUCCCCUCUUUGUCCUGUGGGUGGUCAGCUGCUUCCUAUUUAACUAACAUUUACCUCACGACAACACACUUGCUUUUACACUGAGAGCUAUCACUAUAAAUCUGCUCGAUUGAUCUGUUAAACUAACAAAAUAGAAAUGGACUGCAAGUAGGAAAAUGAGCCCAAGCCCAACAGACUUUGAAAAUAGUAGAGGAGGGGGAUAAGACUCUGUGGCUGUGGAGCCCCACCCAUCCUCCUGGGUAACAGCAGAGCCCACAUCGGGGAACGGUUAUUUCAGACCAUGGCCCACAAGGCGCAGGUGAUAGAUACCUACUGCUGGCUGUUCCCUCCGGGCCCCACAUUCCUCCACCAACCUCGUGAUUCGCACAGGUUCCCGUUCUAAACCCAGGCUGGGCUCUGCACACAUAAUGUGCUCUCUCUCCUGAUCUUUGCUUUUCAGGGGAAGGCAAACAGAAACUGAAAGAUCAGGUCCUGGCUAAGAAAAAGAAGAUUUUCUUUCACUCUGGGCCAAAGGGGAGCACUGCUGAAACAUAAAAAUAAAAAUGAAAAAUGAAAAAUAAAGACAGCACCUUCACCGUCAGGGCCCUUUCAAACAGUAAAAUCUGUCUCUUUAUCCCAGCUCCUGCAGACACCAUCCAGGAGAAUCUGGGCAGAGCAGCACACCGACUCUGUUUGUUUGACUAGGUCUCUGACGGGUGAAGGUGUCACAUGACAGCCGUAUGGACAUCAGUCUCAGCAGCCUGGAAGACAUUUCCCCGACACUUUCAGAGGCCUGACUGAAUCACCAGUUCAAUGUUUUGUUUUGUUUUGUUUUGUUUUAAUCCAACCUGCUCUGAGUCAGGGGUCUUUUUCUUCAAAUUAACUUACUGACAGCACUGAAACCCUGACGGAAGGUUGAAUUUUUUUAAGGUAAAAAGUGAAUCGGAGGACAGUUUGAUAAGAAGGCCCAGAAGCUAUAAAUAUGUGCGUGAGAUCUGGGAGGACGUGGUCAUGCCCUUCCCAGCAAGCACACAGCGGAUUCACGGUGCUGUUUACUGAAGUGCUCUAAAUUUAGAAGAAGCAAGUCGAAUGGAGCCCUGCUCUGUGAGUCAGCCAAGAGCUAUCUGAUCCUCCCUUGCAGGGCCCGGUAGAGAAGAGAACUCUGAGGCCCCCAUGGGGGAAUCACCUCCAGGGGUUAUUCCUGUGACCAAACAUAGCCUUGCUGGUCAGAAAGUUUGCACGGCAGGGGGCUGCUCCUCUGUAUUAGGUCCUUCUAGCAGAGCAGACUCACCCACAGGCUGGAAGAGACAAAGGGUGAUGCUCUUGGGCAGUUCUGGCUGGCUUCCCGGUGCUUCAAACUUAUGGUACAACUGGUUGAAUCUUCUCUAGAGGUGAAGACCAUGAAUGAAUCUUCCAGGCUGGAUGCACAAGGCAUGGGUGACAGCCUGGAAUCCUGAAUCUUGAUCUGGUUUUUAAAACGCUGCAAAGGCCGAUGUGCUUAGAUUUUUAUGUAUAUGAAGUCUUUACAAUUGCAGAAUUGGUAUUUCUUCACCUGUGCUUCAAAAAUAACUUUUUUUAAUUUAAAAACUGCGUGACUCAGCACCUGAUAUUGCCACAUGGUUAAACUAAAUCCGUUUAAGACAAAAAGUGUCUCAAGAUGAAGCCCCGGCAGACUUGGAGACGCUCUGUGACCUCAUCUCCAUGCACUGCCUCUUUCCUGAGCACUGGGGCUGAAGGCACAUUUAUCACCCUGGAGUCGACAAUUGGCCCUAUCCCUCCAAGAUUCUGCAACCCUUUCCGUCUCGAGCUGAGGCCAUGGCCAGCUUCCUCCUAAGGAUUCUGUGACUUCCUUGGGAGCCCUAACCCUCUAGGAAUACGUCUUCGUCUGAAUUCCUUCGAAGUCAUUUGGUGAUUUCUAUUAAAAUAAAAAAGAAAGUACCCCAUGUACAUAAUAGUUAAUGGUAAACUGGUUGCCAAGGACAGCAUGAAUAUGGCUUAGGCCACUGCAUUCCAUAUUGUGCUCAAAGCCAGGGACAAACAGGCAAAAGGGCCAGAUAUGUGAAGAAGCAUGCAUAGUAUACUUUACAAGUGGCCUUCGUGUUUGUUAUAGCUUCAGUACCAAGAUGGGGUGGCAUCCAAAGAAGUAUGGUGGUGGAUCCGUAUACAGAAAUUUCCUUGAAACAUAAGAGGAUAAGAAUGAACAGCUUUUGAAAGAUGACUACCAAAUGACGCCAACCAGGAGCAAAAACCUUAAGCUUAAUUGCCUUGUAUUUUUAAUCUAAAUGGUGUAAAGAGGCUUCCUAGAAAUAAAUGCAAUAACAUCUUCAAAUGGCCAGGCAGAAGGUCGAAACAACGUUGUUUUCAAGAUUUUGACGAGAGAUCUACGUGUCACUAAUACAGGCAGGCUUCUGGCUGCUGUGCCUGUGGUAGAUGGAUCGAGCUAAGUGAUCGUGGGGUUACUCUCCUGGCACAUCAUUUCUACUCUCCGACAAAAUCCACCCGUCUAAGUUCCUCUCCCUGAAGGCUACAAAACCAGAAAGGCUUGGCUGAAUCUGUUUCGAAACACAAAUCCAGGAUUAGAGAAGAACUCUACUGUUUGGAAUAGUGGUGGACUCGAUUCUUUGGAAUAUCUUGGUGAGUGAAAUGAAGUCACCAGCAAUAUUUUCUCCACACUGGUCACCGUGGGAACCGAAAGCAGUGAAGCCCAGUGGACUGACAACUGAGACGAUGCAGAUGCCACAGUAUGGGGGUCUAGGGGGCCAUCCUAAGAUGGGUAACACUUUGCUCAGAAGCUGGGACACCUACUGCUUCCUGCCCAGAUACAUCCCUAAGUAAGGUGCUCAUUUCAACCCCUGUACACAAUUUAAAUUCUAUACCAUAAUAUAAGGAACGAGAAGCAUGAUUACUGCCUUUUAGAGGCCCCUCUAAAUACCACAGCAGAACCAGCCAGAUAGACAAAUCAUUUCACAAAAGAAACGCAGUAAAUGACAAAUAGGAAAUCAAAAGGGCCCAGGGUCUGACUGGGACAGAGAACACUACCACCAGCCUUUGUGGAUGUGAUUAUGGGUUCUGAUUCCCAUUGUCUAAUCAAGGCUGAAGUGGCCCCUUGGAAGCAGUGCCCAAGCGACACAGCUGAUUUCAAAUGGACUUGUUCCCAACAUGGACUUGGUACAAGUCGUGAGAUCUAAAGUCAGAGUUUGAAACAUAAACCUGUCUCUCUAAAGCCAAGCUUCUCGUUGAACCUAAGGGUUUUCCAUGGGUACCAAGUAAAGCACGGGGCUGGGGACAACCAAAUGUUGGUUGCAAAUAUGGUUAUUUUGCAAAUAUGUUAUUUUCUGAGUGUCGAUGUAUAUUCAUAUACACUGUUUGACAUUCAUUCUAUGCAGGGUUGCAUGGCCAUUAUCCUGAAAUGGGUCUUACAGGUGAUUCAAAUGGUUUUCAAGGAGGAUUUUGGCUCCCCUUACUUUUUGUGUUAAGAUACAUUUCAGUGUCCAGACCAGUGUCCAGCAUGGGACAUACUGAGAAAACAAGAACAUAGAUGUUGUCCAGCACCCAAGUACUGAUCCAGACCUGCUUGUUAAUACAGUGGUAUCUCUUCUGGGAUAAAGACAAGAGAUAAGUGUGUGUAGCCCCGAGCGUGUGAGCUUAGCAACUCAGAACUAGGAGAACGUAUUUCCAAGUUUGUAUUCACAUGGGAAAAUUUAUACGUAUUAGCUUGGAUGCGGAUGGCUUUCCUGUCUGUGUUUCUCUAUGUAGCCAGAAAAACCUUCUGGACUUGUUUCUAUUCCAAGAGGCUGCAUGAAUGGUAAAACAUACAGAUGCCAACUUGAGUCAUAUAGAAGGGAACACGUGUUUUCGGGACAUACUAAAAUAGCACAGUAAAAUCGGGCAGGUGUUUGAUCAGGGAAUACGAAACCGUCUUCUCCAAAGACUCUGGAGGUUUUUUUUACUUGAAUGUUUUCAGCAAAAUAAACGGUUACUAGGAAAACAUGCUGUAAACGUAAGAAGGGUCUGCUGGCUUGAAAUGUGGCUGGCUGAUUUCUCCUUCCUUUGUAAUCCCAUUAAGCUCGGUAGCAAAACUCAGCCCUCCUGGCAGCUCUUCUCACCCGCAGCUGCCGGCAGAAAGUGCUCAGUGCCCAGAGUAAAGUCUUCAUUGGUUAAUGACCCUUGACCUUUCAUAGGUGGUGUCUUCCGUGGCAACACUUAGCUUGGAGGCUCCUACAUGAUAUACAGACUGACCAAGAGACAGCAUGGAAUUUCGUUGGAGUCCAAGGCUGGCGUGAUAAAAGGGAAUUACACACCCAAAGAUGUCUAUUCUGGAUUGACUCAACUGUUGAGUUAAUUUUUUUUUUAUUUAGGAUAUAGUGAUUUCUAAUUUGUACUGAUAACAAUCUAUUAGAGUUCUAACUGAUCUUGGUUGUCCAGACAGAAGGCAAGCAAAAUUUAAAAGAUGAUUUUUGCUACUUUUGGGUCUUGUUUCUAAGAACUUUGAAUGUGGCUUUUAAAACAUCAUUAAUACUGCGUACGGGCUGAAGCAUUUAAUGCCUCAUUUAUAGAUCAUUCUUUCUAUUCAGCUAGCAAAAAUCUCCCUGAAUUUUGGCAGUUUGUCUCCAUUAAUUUCAAAUAAACAUUUUAACCACGGACUCAAUAGCACUGAGUGUGUGCUCGGACCCCACUCUCCAGCCAUUUGCAGGUUAGAUUGUUCCUAAAAUGGGCCAGACCCUUCUCUGGGCGGAAGAGGGAGAAAUGUGAGUGAAAGUGGUGGUGGGGGGAUACUAAUGAAGAAAGAAUGAAAAGUUUUACGUUUAUGAAGCCUUUUAUUGUCCGAAAUGUUGGGGGGGGGGAAACAAGUCAAACAUGAUCCUCCUCCUUGCUCUCACUCUUUAUUUCCCCACCAGGCCCCAGUCUCCCC